GCGGACCGGGGUCCGCCGCCGUGGGGGGGUGGGGUGCAGUUCCUGAGACCCUACGGCUGCCGGCACCCCCCCCCCCCCCCCCCGCCGUGGGGCAUUUGCAAGGCAGGGGCGAGCGUGAGGCCUUAGGGAUAUGUGUGGUGCUGCUUUGCUGGCCCCAGCUGUGCACCGGGCCUCCCCACUGCGCACACCUGGGAACUCCUGAAGUCCUCCAAGGGCGAGCAGUGACACCCCACAGAUGUGGGCAGUGACGCCCUUCAGGCUGUGCCCAGCUCUCUGUAGGCGCCUGGUAGCCAGAUCGCUACCCUCGGGCAGAAACAGUCCCAGAAGGAGGGCUAUCCGAGAACUGCAGGCCUGCGCCAGCCGCCUUGGCUUCCACUGUGGAACACUCUGUCAGGGCAGGGAGGGCUCUCCUCUCUGGGGUCCCCUGGUCUUGUGUGGGGUCCUGUGGCUGAGGCAGGCCCUCUGCCCUCCUCCACGUGUUCGGUGGGGGAGUGGAAUGACUUUUAACAUCCAAGCAAAAUUAAACUGUCGUCUCUGGUUUGGGA